rnacentral:rRNA from 1 species
GCUAAACGCGAAGAACCUUACCAAGGCUUGACAUACACGAGAACGGGCCAGAAAUGGUCAACUCUUUGGACACUCGUGAACAGGUGGUGCAUGGUUGUCGUCAGCUCGUGUCGUGAGAUGUUGGGUUAAGUCCCGCAACGAGCGCAACCCUCGUUCUAUGUUGCCAGCACGUAAUGGUGGGAACUCAUGGGAUACUGCCGGGGUCAACUCGGAGGAAGGUGGGGAUGACGUCAAAUCAUCAUGCCCCUUAUGUCUUGGGCUUCACGCAUGCUACAAUGGCCGGUACAAUGGGCUGCGAUACCGUAAGGUGGAGCGAAUCCCAAAAAGCCGGUCCCAGUUCGGAUUGAGGUCUGCAACUCGACCUCAUGAAGUCGGAGUCGCUAGUAAUCGCAGAUCAGCAACGCUGCGGUGAAUACGUUCCCGGGUCUUGUACACACCG